rnacentral:rRNA from 1 species
AACAGAGAGGGCAAGCGUUAUCCAUCUUAACUGGGCGUAAAGGGUGCGCAGACGGAUAUUAAAUAUAGGCUAAUUUACAAUUACUAUAAGAAAGAUAAGAGUACAUUAGUACCAAGUAUCUAUGAGGUAGCACGUUGUCAUAGGAAUACGCAAUGUAUACUGCAAAUUUUUCAUAUUGCGGGAACACCAAUAGCGAAGGCAUUUGACAAGGGCUAAUCUGACGUUGAGGCACGAAAUUGUGGGGAGCAAACGGG